rnacentral:rRNA from 1 species
GUGGGGAAUAUUGGACAAUGGGCGAAAGCCUGAUCCAGCCAUGCCGCGUGUGUGAAGAAGGUCUUCGGAUUGUAAAGCACUUUAAGUUGGGAGGAAGGGUAGUAACCUAAUACGUUGCUACUUUGACGUUACCGACAGAAUAAGCACCGGCUAACUUCGUGCCAGCAGCCGCGGUAAUACGAAGGGUGCAAGCGUUAAUCGGAAUUACUGGGCGUAAAGCGCGCGUAGGUGGUUCAGUAAGUUGGAAGUGAAAUCCCCGGGCUCAACCUGGGAACUGCCUCCAAAACUGCAUGACUAGAGUACGGUAGAGGGUAGUGGAAUUUCCUGUGUAGCGGUGAAAUGCGUAGAUAUAGGAAGGAACACCAGUGGCGAAGGCGACUACCUGGACUGAUACUGACACUGAGGUGCGAAAGCGUGGGGAGCAAACAGGAUUAGAAACCCGGGUAGUCC